UGGAGAGUUUGAUCCUGGCUCAGAACGAACGCUGGCGGCGUGCCUAACACAUGCAAGUCGAACGGUAACAGGACUUUGGUCGCUGACGAGUGGCGCACGGGUGAGUAACGCGUGGGUUACCUGCCCAUAAGUGGGGAACAACUUGGAGAAAUCCAAGCUAAUACCGCAUAAUACCUUCGGGUUAAAGAGGGGGAUCUUCGGACCUCUCGCUUAUGGAUGGUCCCGCGUCUGAUUAGCUAGUUGGUAGGGUAAUGGCCUACCAAGGCAAUGAUCAGUAGCUGGUCUGAGAGGAUGAUCAGUCACACUGGAACUGAGACACGGUCCAGACUCCUACGGGAGGCAGCAGUGGGGAAUUUUGCACAAUGGGCGAAAGCCUGAUGCAGCGACGCCGCGUGCGGGAAGAAGGCCUUCGGGUUGUAAACCGCUUUCAACAGGGAAGAAGGAAUGAGAGCUAAUACCUCUCUGCCUUGACGGUACCUGUAGAAGAAGCACCGGCUAAUUUCGUGCCAGCAGCCGCGGUAAUACGAAAGGUGCAAGCGUUGUUCGGAUUUACUGGGCGUAAAGAGAUCGUAGGUGGCUUGUUAAGUCGGAUGUGAAAUCCCGGGGCUCAACCCCGGAACUGCAUCCGAUACUGGCAGGCUUGAGUUUGGGAGGGGUAAGCGGAAUUCCGUGUGUAGCAGUGAAAUGCGUAGAUAUACGGAGGAACACCUGAGGCGAAGGCGGCUUACUGGACCAAUACUGACACUGAGGAUCGAAAGCGUGGGUAGCAAACAGGAUUAGAUACCCUGGUAGUCCACGCCCUAAACGAUGUCAACUAGCCGUUGCGGGUAUCGACCCCUGCAGUGGCGCAGCUAACGCGAUAAGUUGACCGCCUGGGGAGUACGGUCGCAAGAUUAAAACUCAAAGGAAUUGACGGGGGCCCGCACAAGCGGUGGAGCAUGUG
rnacentral:rRNA from 1 species